UGUCCCCGCUGUGGACAGGCUCCGGACCGCCGAUCUCGGACUGCGGGCGUGUGUCCAGCGACUGCGGAGUUCCAUGCGCAGGUUGAAACUACAGGGAAAGCCGCUGGAGCUGGUCUGCUUUGAUGCUGGUGUUGCCACUGACUUAAUGGAGAGACCAAAAAACCGGGAACCAUCUUAAGGGAGUGGUGAGGGCGGGCCCUUGUAGUACGGCUUCCCCACUAGAUGUUAGAGGAACUAGUCGGUGUCAGGGUGCCAGCUAGCAAUGUUGGGAGUGGCUGCACUUAGUUUCAGUUAGUUCUUUUUACAUUCUUUUCAAGCAUUUCCCCACAUCAUGAUGGGUGAUUUACAUGAACAAUGCAUGGCAGUGAAAUUUUGUUUACUGUUGGGGGAAAAUGUGGCGGAAACAGUUAGUAUGCUACAAACAACUUACAAAGAUGCUGUUCUGAGUAAGACACAAGUUUACCAAUGGUUUUCCCAUUUUAAACGGGGUAAACCUUCAAACAGCCAAACUGAAAAAAACUUGGGAAGAAUUUGUCAAACCAGCUUGAAAAACUGCCCUCGGACUGUAGAUGAACCUGUAGAGUUGACGGGUGUCAGAGUUCCUGUCAGCAAAUUUCACCUGAAAAUUUGGACAUGAGACGAGUUUCAGCAACACUCGGGCCUCGCUUGUCUGUGUGCCUGCUUUGAAGCAGCAGCUGGAAGCUGACCCUACUGGCACAGUGGAACAUGCUUCGAGGAAGGUUGAGUUCUCUUGAUAGGGUGUUCCUGUGCUACCCAGGGAGUUGGAGCAGGGGGUGGUGUUGGUGGCAGGCAAUGCAGCAGAGGCUUCCUGUUCAUUCCUUCACAGCUUUUGCAGCUGAGAUUGAGUCUGCUCCCAUUUCACAGAUGAAGGCAAGGGUUAGGUGGCUACUGGAGUUCUGUCCCGUGUGACCUCUGGAAAGUCACCUUGAGAUUUGGUAUUCUGGUGUAACGGCAAAAAAACUAAACAGACUCGGUCUGCAGAGCUGUUAGGAAUACAAUUCAAUGAGACUUAAAUGUAUUAAUUACAUUAAACCUAGGAUUCCAAAAUUUGGUACAAAGGGAGCACCCAUCAGCCUGCUGGGUAUUUUCUAUGUAGCUAGCAUAAUGAGGAGUGAUUGGGGCUUAGAAGGACAAGCUGGGGCUAGAUAGUUAGAAACUUUGGAAAGUGAUAGGAACGUUUUUGUGCAGGAGGAAACAGUCUAGCAAGCAGCACAGAGCCCACACAAGGCCAUUCUUCUUGAUCAGUAUUUGCCUGUGUGUCACAGCUCAUUUCCCAGAAUCUUCAAUAAAAAGUAUUUGAUACCUUGCA